CGCGUAGGCGGUCAGCACAAGUCAGUUGUGAAAUCUCCGGGCUUAACUCGGAAAGGUCAACUGAUACUGUGCGACUAGAGUGCAGAAGGGGCAACUGGAAUUCUCGGUGUAGCGGUGAAAUGCGUAGAUAUCGAGAGGAACACCUGCGGCGAAGGCGGGUUGCUGGGCUGACACUGACGCUGAAGUGCGAAAGCCGAGGGGAGCGGAACG
rnacentral:rRNA from 1 species